CUACGGGGUGCACCAGUGGGGAAUAUUGCACAAUGGAGGAAACUCUGAUGCAGCAACGCCGCGUGGAGGAUGACACAUUUCGGUGCGUAAACUCCUUUUAUAUGGGAAGAUAAUGACGGUACCAUAUGAAUAAGCACCGGCUAACUCCGUGCCAGCAGCCGCGGUAAUACGGAGGGUGCAAGCGUUACUCGGAAUCACUGGGCGUAAAGCGCGCGCAGGCGGCCUUGUAAGUUGGAUGUGAAAGCCUACGGCUCAACCGUAGAACUGCAUCCAAAACUACUCGGCUAGAGUGUGGGAGGGGAAGAUGGAAUUAGUUGUGUAGGGGUAAAAUCCGUAGAGAUAACUAGGAAUACCAAAAGCGAAGGCAAUCUUCUGGAACACUACUGACGCUGAGGCGCGAAAGCGUGGGGAGCAAACAGGAUUAGAUACCCCGGUAGUC
rnacentral:rRNA from 1 species